rnacentral:rRNA from 1 species
UGCGUAGGCGGAAUAUUAAGUCAGUGGUGAAAUCCUGCGGCUCAACCGUAGAACUGCCAUUGAUACUGAUAUUCUUGAAUGUAGUUGAGGUAGGCGGAAUGUGUAAUGUAGCGGUGAAAUGCUUAGAUAUUACACAGAACACCGAUUGCGAAGGCAGCUUACUAAACUAUGAAUGACGCUGAGGCACGAAAGCGUGGGGAGCGAACAGGAUUAGAUACCCUGGUAGUCC